AACGCACCUUGCACGCGCUGGGGAACCAGCGCGUAUGCCUGUUUGAGAAUCGCCUACACCUUGGCCGCCAGCUGUGCGGCUGCGUUGGGGGUCAGGCCUUGGCGGUCCGUCCUCCUAAAUGGAGCAGUGGGGUCCUGCAGUGUCCUCUGUGUGCUGGAGACCGGUCGAGUCUACUCACGGGGGGCGCGGCAUGUGCGCUGGUCUUGGCUCUGCCUCGGCCUCGCCAGCCCCGCUAAGCGAAGCGAGCUGCAACGAGCAGCAAGCAAAACCACAACCACGGUCUCAAAUCAGGCAAGACCACCCGCCGAACUUAA
rnacentral:misc_RNA from 1 species